rnacentral:rRNA from 1 species
UAUCUCUGUAGAGUCUGCAUAUCAAUAAGCGGAGGAAAAGAAACUAACAAGGAUUCCCCUAGUAACGGCGAGUGAAGCGGGAAGAGCUCAAAUUUGAAAUCUUAAAGGGUUUCCCUUUACGAAUUGUAGUUUAAAGAAGUGUUUUCUGUUGGAGUUUCGGUAAAAGUUCUUUGGAAUAGGACAUCAUAGAGGGUGAGAAUCCCGUAUUUGACCGUUACUUUCCAGCUGUGUGAUACACUUUCAAAGAGUCGGAUUGUUUGGGAAUGCAGUCCAAGAUGGGUGGUAAAUUUCAUCUAAAGCUAAAUAUUGGCGAGAGACCGAUAGCGAACAAGUACCGUGAGGGAAAGAUGAAAAGAACUUUGAAAAGAGAGUUAAACAGUACGUGAAAUUGUCAAAAGGGAAGCGUUUGACACCAGUGUUGUUUAGUUGAAAAUCAAUUCAAUAGUUUUUGAUUCUAAGUAGUAUUGACUUCAUCAGCUUGCUUCUUUCUUCUCAGAAAUUAUUGAAUGCACUUUUCAGUUAACAAGUCAACAUCAAUUUCUUUUGUUGUAAAAGGGUAAGAGGAAGGUGGCUUGCGCUUCGGCUCGAGUGUUUAUAGCCUUCUAUCUCUGCAAUCGGAGAGAUUGAGGUCUGCAGCGUAGAUCCUUCGGGGUUAGAUACAUUGGUGCUAAGCUAUAGCCUUGUAUAGACAACUUGUUGACUAUGCUCAGUCAUGUAGCUUACUCGCUGAUGCUAUUUUACCUACGCUUAGGAUGUUGAACGCGCACAGAGUCUC